rnacentral:lncRNA from 1 species
AGGCAAACUGUGUAAUUAGUUUUUAUUUUCAUCUAUAUUUAAUGCUCCAUACAUGUGCCGCAAGAUUCAAUGUGAUAUGAAAUCUUGAAAAGUUUUUUAUUUUUAAGGUGAACUAAACAAGGCCUUAGAAAUCUAGUGGAGGAGCUUAUCCAAAUGUUGAUUAGCUCAUGUUUUGUGUGACAAUUAGAGAAUUGUAGUGCUAAUUACAUAUUUUAUUUUUAAUUAGUUAUUAUAAUAACAAGAUUACUGUCGGUGAAUAUUAAUCCAUGUAUAAUUAGUUGUUAUUAUUUUUAAAUAAUAGAUAUAAUUAGUCAAGUAUUUUCAUCCCAUCCAAUUUCAUCCAUCCAACCAAACACACAACAUAGAUAUUCAUAUCUCACAAUCCAAAGAUAACCCAUAUUCCACAUCCACCCUUGUCCUCAAACCAAAACACCUUUGGGUCUUGUUUAGUUACACCUAAAAACAAAAAAAAAAUCAAGACUUCUUAUCAUAUCGAAUCUUGCGGCAUAUGUAUGAAGCAUUAAAUAUAGAUAAAAACAAUAACUAAUUGCACAAUUUGCCUGUAAUUUGUGAGAUGAAUCUUUUGAGUCUAAUUAGUCUAUAAUUAGACAAUAAUUGUUAAAUACAAAUAAAAGUGCUAAAGUUAAAAAAAAUUCACCCGCCUCUAGCGUUUGCCUCUGACGUUCUCCUCUUUGCUUCCCCAUUUCCUGAACCAUAGGUGACCAUCCAGCGGUUGUUUUCACUCGCAAAACAACAGUCAUCAAGACAGAUGUGCCGCUGCUCAAGCUGAUGCGAAUACGCGAUGCUGUUCCUCCUCGUAUAUACUCCCUCCUCCAUCCUAAAUUAUAGUCA